rnacentral:rRNA from 1 species
GCGGCAAGCCUAACACAUGCAAGUCGAGCGGCAGCGGGAGAAAGCUUGCUUUCUUGCCGGCGAGCGGCGGACGGGUGAGUAAGGUAUGGGGAUCUGGCCGAAGGCGGGGGAUAACCACUGGAAACGGUGGCUAAUACUGCAUAAUCUCUAAGGAGCAAAGUGGGGGACCAUUUGGCCUCACACCUUCGGAUGAACCCAUAUGAGAUUAGCUAGUAGGUGGGGUAAAGGCUCACCUAGGCGACGAUCUCUAGCUGGUCUGAGAGGAUGAUCAGCCACACUGGGACUGAGACACGGCCCAGACUCCUACGGGAGGCAGCAGUGGGGAAUAUUGCACAAUGGGCGCAAGCCUGAUGCAGCCAUGCCGCGUGUAUGAAGAAGGCCUUCGGGUUGUAAAGUACUUUCAGUCGUGAGGAAGGUGUUAAGGUUAAUAGUCUUAGCAAUUGACGUUAGCGACAGAAGAAGCACCGGCUAACUCCGUGCCAGCAGCCGCGGUAAUACGGAGGGUGCGAGCGUUAAUCGGAAUUACUGGGCGUAAAGGGCACGCAGGCGGUUAAUUAAGUUGGAUGUGAAAUCCCCGGGCUUAACCUGGGAAUGGCAUUCAAGACUGGUUAGCUAGAGUCUUGUAGAGGGGGGUAGAAUUCCAUGUGUAGCGGUGAAAUGCGUAGAGAUGUGGAGGAAUACCGGUGGCGAAGGCGGCCCCCUGGACAAAGACUGACGCUCAUGUGCGAAAGCGUGGGGAGCAAACAGGAUUAGAUACCCUGGUAGUCCACGCUGUAAACGAUGUCGAUUUGGAGGUUGUGGUCCUGAACUGUGGCCUCCGGAGCUAACGCGUUAAAUCGACCGCCUGGGGAGUACGGCCGUAAGGUUAAAACUCAAAUGAAUUGACGGGGGCCCGCACAAGCGGUGGAGCAUGUGGUUUAAUUCGAUGCAACGCGAAGAACCUUACCUACUCUUGACAUCCAGCGAAGCCUUUAGAGAUAGAGGCGUGCCUUCGGGAGCGCUGAGACAGGUGCUGCAUGGCUGUCGUCAGCUCGUGUUGAGAAAUGUUGGGUUAAG